AUUCACCCUGGAGGACAAAAGCAAAGUUGAAAUCAGGAUUUGUGCAGCACACAGUGGUUGUAACACAACGAGCACGACCAGGUUUGGGGGGUUUCAAAGGCCCGGAUCACACCACCGAAUUUGCCAAUAAGCAGCUCCCCUCAGUGGCCAAAAGGGAACAGAACUGAUGGCUCUGCUUCCCACACAAACCCUUCCUGCGGGCCAAGGAGCAGCACAGCUCAGAUUUUUGGGAUUGUUUGGAGGUUGGCACCACAGGCAAAUGGGUCACAGAGGCAGGAGCUCGUUCCUCCUGUCUGGGUCUUGUCUGCCAAGGGAAUGAGAGCUGGGAGUUCUGUGCUACUUUCUUCCUUUGCAAACCUCAGGAGCCACCUCACCCCUGCCUGUUUGCUUACAUCCAGCCCAAUUAACCCCACACUUGCUUAGAAUUCUCCAUGCACAGGACAACUCUAGAAAGGAACACGGGGAUGUACAAAAAUCCAUAGUGGGUGUUUUUGUCAGAACUCAGGUUUGGAAAAUCAUCUACUAUUUUGAUAACCAAGAGGGUUCAGGUUCUGGUGUGCAAUUCAAGAACAACAGUGUGCUGGGGGAAAUGAUGCUGUGCCUGCAAACAGUGAGUCCUUCUUACUGAGGCUGAAGCAAUUCCUGAAGAAUAAACAAAGCUGGAACCAUGAA